GAUCCAGCAACGCCGCGUGAGGGAUGCGGCUCGGUGUAACCUCUUCACAUGACGAAGCUGCAUCUUUUUGGGUGUGGUGACGGUAGGUGGGGAAGAAGCACCGGCCAACUACGUGCCAGCAGCCGCGGUAAUACGUAGGGUGCGAGCGUUGUCCGGAAUUAUUGGGCGUAAAGGGCUCGUAGGCGGUUGUCGCGUCGGGAGUGAAAACCUCGGGCUUAACUCGGGGCUUGCUUUCGAUACGGGCAGACUAGAGGUAUGCAGGGGAGAACGGAAUUCCUGGUGUAGCGGUGAAAUGCGCAGAUAUCAGGAGGAACACCGGUGGCGAAGGCGGUUCUCUGGGCAUGAUCUGACGCUGAGGAGCGAAAGUGUGGGGAGCGAACAGGAUUAGAUACCCUGGUAGUCCACACCGUAAACGUUGGGCGCUAGGUGUGGGAUCCAUUCCACGGGUUCCGUGCCGCAGCUAACGCAUUAAGCGCCCCGCCUGGGGAGUACGGCCGCAAGGCUA
rnacentral:rRNA from 1 species